UACGGAGGGAGCUAGCGUUGUUCGGAAUUACUGGGCGUAAAGCGCACGUAGGCGGCUUUUUAAGUCAGAGGUGAAAUCCCGGGGCUCAACCCCGGAACUGCCUUUGAAACUGGAGAGCUAGAAUCUUGGAGAGGCGAGUGGAGUUCCGAGUGUAGAGGUGAAAUUCGUAGAUAUUCGGAAGAACACCAGUGGCGAAGGCGACUCGCUGGACAAGUAUUGACGCUGAGGUGCGAAAGCGUGGGGAGCAAACAGG
rnacentral:rRNA from 1 species